UACGUAGGGGGCAAGCGUUGUCCGGAAUCAUUGGGCGUAAAGCGCGUGUAGGCGGUCCGGUAAGUCCGCUGUGAAAGUCGGGGGCUCAACCCUCGGAUGCCGGUGGAUACUGUCGGGCUUGAGUACGGAAGAGGCGAGUGGAAUUCCUGGUGUAGCGGUGGAAUGCGCAGAUAUCAGGAGGAACACCUAUAGCGAAGGCAGCUCGCUGGUACGACACUGACGCUAAGGCGCGAAAGCGUGGGGAGCGAACAGG
rnacentral:rRNA from 1 species